rnacentral:rRNA from 1 species
GAUGAACGCUGGCGGCGUGCCUAAUACAUGCAAGUCGAGCGAACAGACGAGGAGCUUGCUCCUCUGACGUUAGCGGCGGACGGGUGAGUAACACGUGUAUAACCUACCUAUAAGACUGGGAUAACUUCGGGAAACCGGAGCUAAUACCGUAUAAUAUAUUGAACCGCAUGGUUCAAUAGUGAAAGACGGUUUUGCUGUCACUUAUAGAUGGAUCCGCGCCGCAUUAGCUAGUUGGUAAGGUAACGGCUUACCAAGGCAACGAUGCGUAGCCGACCUGAGAGGGUGAUCGGCCACACGGGAACUGAGACACGGUCAAGACGCCUACGGGAGGCAGCAGUAGGGAAUCGUACGCAAUGGGCGAAAGCCUGACGGAGCAAGGCCGCGUGAGUGAUGAAGGUCUUCGGAUCGUAAAACUCUGUUAUUAGGGAAGAACAAAUGUGUAAGUAAAUAUGCACGUCUUGACGGUACCUAAUCAGAAAGCAACGGCUAACUACGUG